GAUGAACGCUGGCGGCGUGCCUAAUACAUGCAAGUAGAACGCUGAAGGAGGAGCUUGCUCUUCUGGAUGAGUUGCGCACGGGUGAGUAACGCGUAGGUAACCUGCCUGGUAGCGGGGGAUAACUAUUGGAAACGAUAGCUAAUACCGCAUGACAACAGUUAUUGCAUGAUAAUUGUUUAAAAGGGGCAACUGCUCUACUACUAGAUGGACCUGCGUUGUAUUAGCUAGUUGGUGAGGUAACGGCUCACCAAGGCGACGAUACAUAGCCGACCUGAGAGGGGUGUCGGCCAAAAUGGGACUGGGACCCGGGCCAAGCUCCUUCGGGGGGCAGCCGUAGGGAAUCUUCGGGAAUGGGGGGAAAUCUGGCCGAAGAACGCCGGGUGGGGGGAGGAAGUUCUCGGGUCGUUAAGCCCCGUUGAAAGGGGAGAACGAGUGGGAGAGUGGAAAGUUCACGCUGUGACGGUACCUAACCAGAAAGGGACGGCUAACUACGUG
rnacentral:rRNA from 1 species